AACGUAGGAGACAAACGUUAUUCGGAGUUACUGGGCGUAAAGGGCGCGUAGGCGGUUUCGUAAGUCUGGCGUGAAAUCUUUCGGCUUAACCGGGAAAGGUCGUCGGAUACUGCGGAGCUAGAGGACGGUAGAGGCGUGUGGAAUUCCGGGUGUAGUGGUGAAAUGCGUAGAGAUCCGGAGGAACACCAGUGGCGAAGGCGACACGCUGGGCCGUACCUGACACUGAUGCGCGACAGCAUGGGGAGCAAACAGG
rnacentral:rRNA from 1 species